rnacentral:misc_RNA from 1 species
AACAACUAAGCCCCUGGCUUGCGUUGACGUCUGGUCGUCGUGACGACCGCGUCCAAACACAGUUGAGCGUCUCCACCGAGUUAGCACGUAGCAACUUACGAGUGAUCUUGGGAGCGAGACUCGCUGGUCUAAACGA